rnacentral:ribozyme from 1 species
AGCAGAGUGACACACCGCAAGGUGUGGUAAUGCGCACAGGCGGUCACAAGCCCGU